UUAUCAUUUUUCUUUGUGAGUUCAUCUGAGAAUGUAGUGAUUGUCUGGUUUCACCCACAUAGUUGCUCUUGGGGCAUUUAGUGCACUGGAUGAGGUAUACCACAUGUUGUGAUAGGCAUGUGUAGGGCCCAUGGAUAUUGAAAGG